AGAGUUUGAUCCUGGCUCAGGAUGAACGCUGACAGAAUGCUUAACACAUGCAAGUCUACUUGAACUUCGGUUUGGGUGGCGGACGGGUGAGUAACGCGUAAAGAACUUGCCUCACAGUUAGGGACAACAUUUGGAAACGAAUGCUAAUACCUGAUAUUAUGAUUUUAGGGCAUCCUAAGAUUAUGAAAGCUAUAUGCGCUGUGAGAGAGCUUUGCGUCCCAUUAGCUAGUUGGAGAGGUAACGGCUCACCAAGGCGAUGAUGGGUAGCCGGCCUGAGAGGGUGAACGGCCACAAGGGGACUGAGACACGGCCCUUACUCCUACGGGAGGCAGCAGUGGGGAAUAUUGGACAAUGGACCAAAAGUCUGAUCCAGCAAUUCUGUGUGCACGAUGACGUUUUUCGGAAUGUAAAGUGCUUUCAGUUGGGAAGAAAAAAAUGACGGUACCAACAGAAGAAGUGACGGCUAAAUACGUGCCAGCAGCCGCGGUAAUACGUAUGUCACAAGCGUUAUCCGGAUUUAUUGGGCGUAAAGCGCGUCUAGGUGGUUAUGUAAGUCUGAUGUGAAAAUGCAGGGCUCAACUCUGUAUUGCGUUGGAAACUGUAUGACUAGAGUACUGGAGAGGUAAGCGGAACUACAAGUGUAGAGGUGAAAUUCGUAGAUAUUUGUAGGAAUGCCGAUGGGGAAGCCAGCUUACUGGACAGAUACUGACGCUAAAGCGCGAAAGCGUGGGUAGCAAACAGGAUUAGAUACCCUGGUAGUCCACGCCGUAAACGAUGAGUGCUAAGU
rnacentral:rRNA from 2 species